rnacentral:snRNA from 1 species
GUACUCACUUUGGCAGCACAUAUACUAAAAGUGGAAUGAUACAGAGAAGAUUAGCAUGGCCCCCUUGUAAGGAUGCCUUGCAAAUUCAUGAAACUUUCCACAUUUUU